GCCCACCUAGAUCAGUGGUAGAUCGUCAGUUUCCGGCAGGUUGGACCUCCAAACAGCUGAAGGUCGUGGGUUCAAGCCCCACGGUGGGUA